rnacentral:lncRNA from 1 species
UAAAACCCCCAAAUCAAAUCCCUAAAACUUCCUCUCUUCUUUUUUUUCUUCGUUUUUCCUUUUUCUUUCUUUUUUCUUCCUUCCCUUUUUUUCAUUCGUCUCCUCCCUCACCCCUUUUCUCCACUUCCUGAGCCUUUACCCUUCAAAACCCUAACUUUAUCCCCUUUCUUACAAUUCUGACCCAAAAAUCAAUCAAAAAUCUUGUGGGGAAGCCGAUAUCCAUGAAUGUUGAAGAUUCUAGGGACUAAGCCCUUUCUCUGCUCACUAUCGUGCUCAACCAUUCUGAUUUGGCAAUGAAGCUUUCGUCUCUUAAAUAGGCCAAGGACAUUCUUUCCUCUCUCAGUUCUUCUUCCGCCAUCAAACUCUUCCCCUACCUUUCUGAACUCCAGCUUUCUCAUCAUAGCCUCGUUAGGGGAUUUCUUGUCGAAUGAGUUUCAAACCCCAAAUCUUUCCAAUUUUGUAUGUUUAUGUUAUUUUAUAUGCUGUUGUUGUACGCUUAACUGCUUCGCUUCUUAGUUUUGAUAUUCGUGUGAUUAAUGAGUUGCAUUUCUUUGACAGAAACAUGAAACAUGAUGAUCUCAUGGUUUUAUUUCUUUGACAGAAACAUGAAGGUUGAGUACCUCUUAGUUCUUUCCUCUACUAAUUUGUUUUCUCGUUGCAUAUUAUGCCUUGUAUUUAAAAUGGAUAGAAAUAUAAUGAUCUCAUGAGUCUGCGUUUGUAUAAAGGUAUAGGUUUAAGUCUUCUGGCCUUAGUUUGCUUCCUAAUCUUUUUGAAUGAUGAGGUUAUACCAUGGGUAGUGUUGUUUUCAUCAACCCCAAUGUAAUUUAAAUAAGCAUCCAUAAUACAGCUAACAUUAUCAAAUUACCUGUCAGUUUUUACUUGUUUUUGCAUAUAUGAUAUAGCCUUCAUCAAUAAAUAAACUAGCACUUGUCUUUUCUCUUAUUGUCCUGUUUUUACUUAGAAUAUUUUCUUACCUGGCUAAAUGAACUAGAAACAUAUUUGAAUUGUUAGAAAUGCAUGUAACUAGUCUUAAGAAGUUAAUAAAGUGCCACAAUAUGAAAUAUUGAUCACGUUAUAAGCAUAAGCCUUAGAGCUCGCUUGAUCUUUUGAGUCAAUUGGAUGGUCAUAAGUUAAGACUCUAACUAUAGCCAUUGGUUAAAUUGAUUUGAUGCUAGUUUCAGCAACUUGUUUUUUCAAUCAAUUCUGUAAGUAAUAAAAAAUGACACAUCAAAUUAUGCAUCUUGCUUUGGGUUGAAGAUGAUAAUGGAACUUACCACUGACAAAGGAACUCUUACUACUGACAUAUUAAAUUAGCUCACUUCCUUUAAUGAUAAUUUUGGUUUUUAUCCAUUUUCCCCUUUAUUUUUAUCAAAUUUAGUUUGUCAUUUCAUGCUUUUAUCUAUUUUUUAAUAUAUUUUUUCGGUUGAUAGAUUGCAGGUGUCAACUCUUUAAUAGGAGAACUUCGAAAUAUAAGUUCAAAUGAGAUUACUUUACUUGACCACUGUCAAGAACUUGUAUCAACAAUUAUUAUUGAGAUAAGCAUCUGAUGCCACUUGAAGUGCUUAAUUUCAAUUUAAAGCAUUCCGCCUCAUUGUUAUGUCUUUGUUGGCAUUACUCAUGUUUUAGUUGUUUUUUUGUUUAAUUAAAAAUACAAUAUGCAAGGUCAAAGAAGGUUAAAUUUAUGGUAAAUAUCUUGAUUGCUUUUACUCUCAGUAGUGGAAGCAAUAUCUGACUUUUGUGAUUGCAGUGAAUUUGCGUUCAGUUGUAGUCUUUUGCACUAGAAUUUUCAACUGCAAUCACAGUGACAAACUAGACUUAAACUUUUAUUUUAUGUUGACAUUUUUUUACCCUUAUAAUUUGUUUAGCUUUGCUAUAUUCUCUAUGUACCUCAAUUAAACUGGCAGAGGAGAAGCCUUCUCCAUUUUCAUUCUUGAACGAAUUUGUUUGUUUGGAAUGCUUAUAUCUAGGUAUUUAAUUCCCAAAUGCUUGCUGGGAGGAUUUUCAGAAUCACAGUAAGGGGAACAACUUAAUGAAUGUUACUGUGCAAUUGGAUGUUUAUUUUCCUUGUUAUUUCGUGAUCAAUCACUUUCUUCCUAUAUAUGUUAUUAAAUAUGUUUGACUGCCUUUCUGAUAUGAACUUACAAUGUGUAAUUGAGUCGUUGAAUUCCCGGUCGUCAAAUUAAGUAGUCUCAUUUCGGUUUAACAACUUGGCUAAUUUAAA